rnacentral:misc_RNA from 1 species
UGUCCGAGCGUCAUUAGUCCAUCUCAAGCCUGGCUUGUCGUUGGGUUUUACCGCCUGGCGGUUGACCCGAAAGCUAAUGACGGGCCUUGUUAACCGUUGAUGCAGCGAGCUUUAUAGCACGCAUCUCCGGCCUUUCCGGGCCCGUCUCAACCAUCUCUUAGGUUGACCUCGGAUCAGACAGGGUUACCCGCUGAACUUAA